rnacentral:rRNA from 1 species
GAUGAACGCUAGCGAUAGGCCUAACACAUGCAAGUCGAGGGGCAUCACAUGAAGUAGCAAUACGGAUGGUGGCGACCGGCGCACGGGUGAGUAACACGUAUGCAACCUGCCUUCAACAAGGGGGAUAACCCGUUGAAAGACGGACUAAUACCCCUAUAACACAGGGGUCCCGCAUGGGAAUAUUUGUUAAAGGACAACCGGUUGAAGAUGGGCAUGCGUUCCAUUAGCUAGUUGGCGGGUAACGGCCACCAAGGCAACGAUGGAUAGGGGAACUGAGAGGU